CCGGCUCAGAGGCAGAGAGCCCCCACCAUCCUCACCUGCGAGGCUGCGUCCAUCUCCACCAGGUCUGUGAUGGGCUCACUGUCAGGGACACAAAGAUGCCAGCUCAGGGUCAUCCUCUCCCCAGGCUCCCACAUCACCAAGUGCUUCCUUGGCACCUGCUCCAAUGAACAUCCUGCUGCCAAGGGAAGGAACCGCCUGGCUCAGCACUGCCAGAAGCAGCUCAUUACUGAUAUAAACCAAUUAAAGUCGUGAGAUUAA